CCAGUUUGUUCCGCGGUAGCUCAAUGGUGGAGCACUCGGCUGUUAACCGAUAGGUUGGAGGUUCGAGUCCUCUCCGCGGAGCCAAUUAUUAGAUCAUUGACAAUUGGAUAGGGAAA
rnacentral:tRNA from 1 species